GACGAACGCUGGCGGCGUGCUUAACACAUGCAAGUCGAACGGAAAGGCUCCAGCUUGCUGGAGUACUCGAGUGGCGAACGGGUGAGUAACACGUGGGUAAUCUGCCCUGCACUCUGGGAUAAGCCUGGGAAACUGGGUCUAAUACUGGAUAUGACCUUUCUCCUUAUGGGGUUUGGUGGAAAGUUUUUCGGUGUAGGAUGAGCCCGCGGCCUAUCAGCUUGUUGGUGGGGUGAUGGCCUACCAAGGCGACGACGGGUAGCCGGCCUGAGAGGGUGAUCGGCCACAUUGGGACUGAGAUACGGCCCAGACUCCUACGGGAGGCAGCAGUGGGGAAUAUUGCACAAUGGGCGGAAGCCUGAUGCAGCGACGCCGCGUGAGGGAUGACGGCCUUCGGGUUGUAAACCUUUUUCAGCAGGGACGAAGCGUAAGUGACGGUACCUGCAGAAGAAGCACCGGCUAACUAUGUG
rnacentral:rRNA from 1 species